ensembl:misc_RNA Metazoa_SRP Metazoan signal recognition particle RNA
ACCGGGCGCAGUGGCGCAUGCCUGUAGUCCCAGCUACUUGGGAGGCUGAGACUGGAAGAUUGCUUGAGCCCAGGGGUUCUGGGCUGUAGUGCACUAUGCUGAUCUGGUGUCCGCACUAAGUUUGGCAUCAAUAUGGUGAUCUCCUGGGGGCGGGGGACCACCAGGUUACCUAAGGAGGGGUGAACCGGCCCAGGUUGGAAACAGAGCAGGUCAAAACUCCCGUGCUGAUCAGUAGUGGGACCGCGCCUGUGAAUAGCCACUGCACUCCAGCCUAGGCAACAUAGCGAGAUCCUGUCUCUU